GCGCCAUUGCCGGCCACACUCCUCUUCCUCCUCCAUCGCCAAGAACCACCACGAGCAAUGGCGUCGCUGUCCAUGGCCACAACGCUGCCGUCGCUGGCCGGCGCCGCACCGGCGGCGAGGAAGAGGAGCGGCGUGACGUACGUGGAGGGGAUGAACGCGUACAGCGGGCUCAAGGCGCUCAACAAGGUGACCCUGCUCGGCGUGCGCAAGACCGCCGACUACUCGUUCGCCAAGGUGGUGGCCAAGCUGAGCCCCGCCGGCGGGAAGAGCCGCGGCGGCGCGUUCGGGGCGCAGUGCAACGCCGCCGGUGAGAUAUUCAGGAUCGCCGUCAUCAUGAACGGGCUCGUGCUCGUCGGCGUCGCCGUCGGCUUCGUGCUGCUCCGGGUGGAGGCGGCCGUCGAGGAGUCGGAGUAGUGGACCCCGAUCGAGCCAUAGCAGGCAGGGCCCAGCCAGCCAUGGCUGGUUGGCCCCGAUAAGCCGUGAUAUAUAACUGUGAUGUAUGUUUCGAUUAAAAUUUGCUUUCGUUUUGUACCCAUGACGAUUGGUGAAUACCCUUGGAACGAAACACGUUUUGGAGGCAGAACCUGC
rnacentral:misc_RNA from 1 species